rnacentral:rRNA from 1 species
GUGGGGAAUAUUGGACAAUGGGCGAAAGCCUGAUCCAGGCAUGCCGCGUGUGUGAAGAAGGUCUUCGGAUUGUAAAGCACUUUAAGUUGGGAGGAAGGGCAGUAAGUUAAUACCUUGCUGUUUUGACGUUACCGACAGAAUAAGCACCGGCUAACUUCGUGCCAGCAGCCGCGGUAAUACGAAGGGUGCAAGCGUUAAUCGGAAUUACUGGGCGUAAAGCGCGCGUAGGUGGUUUUGUAAGUUGGAGGUGAAAUCCCCGGGCUCAACCUGGGAACUGCCUCCAAAACUGCAUGACUAGAGUACGGUAGAGGGUAGUGGAAUUUCCUGUGUAGCGGUGAAAUGCGUAGAUAUAGGAAGGAACACCAGUGGCGAAGGCGACUACCUGGACUGAUACUGACACUGAGGUGCGAAAGCGUGGGGAGCAAACAGGAUUAGAAACCCUAGUAGUCC